rnacentral:rRNA from 1 species
GAGUUUGAUUAUGGCUCAGGAUGAAUGCUGGCGGCGUGGAUGAGGCAUGCAAGUCGAAUGGGUUUAGGCCCAUGGCAGACGAGGUAGGAACACGUAGGUACGUACCCCAAAGUCAGGGAUAAUCCGUCGAAAGGCGGGAUAAUACUUGAUGGUCUCUUCGGAGUAAAGAUUUAUCGCUUUGGGAACGGCCUGCGGGCUAUCAGCUUGUUGGUAAGGUAACGGCUUACCGAGGCUACGACGGCUAGGGGAGGUGAGAGCCUGACCCCCACCGAUGGAACUGCGACACGGUCCAUACUCCUACGGGAGGCUACAGUCGAGAAUCUUCCGCAAUGGACGAAAGUCUGACGGAGCGACGCCGCGUGGUGGAUGAAGUCCCUCGGGACGUAAACACCUUUUAUGAGGGAGGAAAUUUUGACGUUACCUCAUGAAUA